rnacentral:rRNA from 2 species
CCCGAGUUGUAAUUUGUAGAGGAUGCUUUUGGUGAGGUGCCUUCCGAGUUCCCUGGAACGGGACGCCAUAGAGGGUGAGAGCCCCGUCUGGUUGGACACCGAUCCUCUGUAAAGCUCCUUCGACGAGUCGAGUAGUUUGGGAAUGCUGCUCUAAAUGGGAGGUAUAUGUCUUCUAAAGCUAAAUACCGGCCAGAGACCGAUAGCGCACAAGUAGAGUGAUCGAAAGAUGAAAAGAACUUUGAAAAGAGAGUUAAACAGUACGUGAAAUUGUUGAAAGGGAAGCGCUUGUGACCAGACUUGGGCUUGGUUGAUCAUCCGGGGUUCUCCCCGGUGCACUCUUCCGGCUCAGGCCAGCAUCAGUUCGCCCUGGGGGAUAAAGGCUUCGGGAAUGUGGCUCUCUCCGGGGAGUGUUAUAGCCCGCUGCGUAAUACCCUGUGGCG